UACGAAGGGGGCUAGCGUUGCUCGGAAUCACUGGGCGUAAAGGGUGCGUAGGCGGGUCUUUAAGUCAGGGGUGAAAUCCUGGAGCUCAACUCCAGAACUGCCUUUGAUACUGAGGAUCUUGAGUCCGGGAGAGGUGAGUGGAACUGCGAGUGUAGAGGUGAAAUUCGUAGAUAUUCGGAAGAACACCAGUGGCGAAGGCGGCUCACUGGACCGGUAUUGACGCUGAGGUGCGAAAGCGUGGGGAGCAAACAGG
rnacentral:rRNA from 1 species